GGGGAAUAUUGCACAAUGGGGGAAACCCUGAUGCAGCGACGCCGCGUGGAGGAAGAAGGUCUUCGGAUUGUAAACUCCUGUUGUUGAGGAAGAUAAUGACGGUACUCAACAAGGAAGUGACGGCUAACUACGUGCCAGCAGCCGCGGUAAAACGUAGGUCACAAGCGUUGUCCGGAAUUACUGGGUGUAAAGGGAGCGCAGGCGGACCGGCAAGUUGGAAGUGAAAACUAUGGGCUCAACCCAUAAAUUGCUUUCAAAACUGCUGGCCUUGAGUAGUGCAGAGGUAGGCGGAAUUCCCGGUGUAGCGGUGGAAUGCGUAGAUAUCGGGAGGAACACCAGUGGCGAAGGCGGCCUACUGGGCACCAACUGACGCUGAGGCUCGAAAGUGUGGGUAGCAAACAGGAUUAGAUACCCUGGUAGUCCACACCGUAAACGAUGAUUACUAGGUGUUGGAGGAUUGACCCCUUCAGUGCCGCAGUUAACACAAUAAGUAAUCCACCUGGGGAGUACGACCGCAAGGUUGAAACUCAAAGGAAUUGACGGGGGCCCGCACAAGCAGUGGAGUAUGUGGUUUAAUUCGACGCAACGCGAAGAACCUUACCAAGUCUUGACAUCCCUUGACAGACAUAGAAAUAUGUAUUCUCUUCGGAGCAAGGAGACAGGUGGUGCAUGGUUGUCGUCAGCUCGUGUCGUGAGAUGUUGGGUUAAGUCCCGCAACGAGCGCAACCCUUAUGGUCAGUUACUACGCAAGAGGACUCUGGCCAGACUGCCGUUGACAAAACGGAGGAAGGUGGGGAUGACGUCAAAUCAUCAUGCCCUUUAUGACUUGGGCUACACACGUACUACAAUGGCGUUAAACAAAGAGAAGCAAGACCGCGAGGUGGAGCAAAACUCAGAAACAACGUCCCAGUUCGGACUGCAGGCUGCAACUCGCCUGCACGAAGUCGGAAUUGCUAGUAAUCGUGGAUCAGCAUGCCACGGUGAAUACGUUCCCG
rnacentral:rRNA from 1 species